rnacentral:rRNA from 1 species
AGAAAUUUCGUACAUAUCGGAGUAACCUUCAAGGCCGAAGGGGCGUUUUAGCGUUGUACUCUCCCCGGGAGAGGGAAAAGUGUUGGGAGGACAUCGUGAUUCGUACCCCCGGCUGUUCCACCCCCGUCAACGGAGAGUUGGAACAUGUUCAGGGGGUUUCCGCCCCUCAGUUCUGCAAGAUAAGGCAUUAACCACUCCCCCUUGGGAAUUACGGUCCCCACGGCUGAAACUCAAAAGGAAUUAACGGGGGCCCCUCCCAAGAGGUGGAGCAUUUGGUUAAUUAUGAAGCGACGGGGAAGAUCUUUACCAGGUCUUGACAUCUUUGACCAUCUUAAGAGAUAGGACGUUCCCUUUCGGGGGACAGAGUGACAGGUGGUGCAUGGUCGUCGUCAGCUCGUGUCGUGAGAUGUUGGGUUAAGUCCCGCAACGAGCGCAACCCUCGAUCUUAGUUGCCAGCAUUCAGUUGGGCACUCUAAGGUGACUGCCGGUGACAAACCGGAGGAAGGUGGGGAUGACGUCAAAUCGUCAUGCCCCUUAUGACCUGGGCUACACACGUGCUACAAUGGAUGGUACAAAGGGCUGCAAGACCGCGAGGUUUAGCCAAUCCCAUAAAACCAUUCUCAGUUCGGAUUGCAGGCUGCAACUCGCCUGCAUGAAGCCGGAAUCGCUAGUAAUCGCGGAUCAGCAUGCCGCGGUGAAUACGUUCCCGGGCCUUGUACACACCGCCCGUCACACCACGAGAGUUUGUAACACCCGAAGUCGGUGGGGUAACCGUAAGGAGCCAGCCGCCUAAGGUGGGACAGAUGAUUGGGGUGAAGUCGUAACAAGGUAAAUGCAA